ACUUCAGCAACUUACUGUGUGCUAGGCACUUUCUAGGGGACCUGUGUGAGUGGGUGGCAGGAAAGAGUAAAAGGCAGCUGAGAUCAGCACACUGCCCGGCUUUGUUCUGAUCAUCCCACUUGAGUCUCAUUUCAGAUGCAAGGACCAGGGCCCCAGAGGAUGACCUCGUGCUUGGGCAGCUGGUUAGUGCAGAGCUGGACUACUAUCCACUCUUCGGUGCCUGUGAAGAUCAUUUUUCAGCAGUGGGGGUCUUGCUAUGUUACCCAGCCUGACUUUGAACUCUCAAUCCUUCUGUUUUGGCCUUCUGAGUAGUAGGAAUUACAGGAGAAGAAUUUGCUGUUGAGAAGCCUCUCCUCCACACUUGCCCAUGCUCUACCUUCUCUGCACUCAGGUGACAACAUGCCAUCUGCCAGCUGUGACAAAUGAGAUUUCCAAUAUCAUUCGAGGAAAGGAGAUCUUAAUCACAAAGAGACAGCUCAAUCCACUAACCUACAGUCAUAACAAAGCUACCUGGCAGGCAAUUUUUGAACAUGAUAGCAAAUCAUUUUAAAUAAACUUGAUCGAAAUGACCAAAAGAACAUUAAAGAGUCACGAUUAGCUAUGGGAAGAGAUCCACUUCUACAAGACCACCACCACAGGAAGAGAGGCACUGCAGAGAUCCUGUACAGAGCCUCUUUGUGCUUGUACAGUCCUUACCUGACAGUCAAAGUCCUGGAAGUUUCGUGUACCAUUCUGUCAACAGAAGGCAGAAAACACAGUCAGUUUCCCCAUGUGGUUCCCCAAAUGUGCAGCAAAUUCAGUUCACAGUGAAAGCAGUGCAUGUGCAGUUUCCUGGUUGCCAUCAACCUAAAAUGGUUUUCACUGAAAGCUUCAGAAGCAGGGUGGGUUACUGACUUGCGCUAGUACCAGCUAUGUCUUCAGAAGUGAGAUUAUGCCUUGGUUGGAUUACUGUGAAGAUAAAGGGAAGCAGAAUAGUUUCCCAGCAAAGCUUGGAACUUCAUGCCUUCCUACUGAAGGAAGCAGUGAGAAUUUGUGGGAAGAGAGUAAAAGAUGGAUCAGCGUAUGACAGCACACCGUCAACACACAUGGGAAGUUACCUGGGAAGAAAGGCCUUAGAUGCCAACCUUGAGAGGGAUGAAGGAGAACAAGAGCCAAGGUACCCAGGUCUAGGAAUUAAAGAAAGGAUUAGGAAGAGGACAAGGCCAUGAACGGAUCAGAAAUGGAAGACUUAAAAUCUAACAAAGAAGUAAAACAAUGUCACUGAAGAAGGGAAAGAAAGAGAAUAGGGCUCCUAACACCCUGGCAUUUCUACUGCAUCCUAUGAAACUGGAGAUAGGAAAAAAAAAAAAAAGGACAAAUCACUGAAACAUAUAAAAAACAGAACUUAGACAAAAGAUUCAAGGAAAAUUCCCCAAAUUUCUAAAAAGAGAUUAUAUGAUAGUAAUAUCUGAUUGAUAGUAAUAUCUGAUUGAGGAAAAGAAAUCAAUGGUGAUGACUCAGGCAUUUCUGCAGCAUUUCAGAUGCCGAAGUUGCAAGAGUAUGACAUCAGAGUACAAAAAGGGUAACAAGUAAUAUAUUAGGGAAGAAAAAACCCUUUUACUUGAUUUUUUUCAUAAAGUAUAAUCCCCUCCCUGAGAAGCCUCUCAUUAUUUAGAAAUCGUUUUAUCAUGACAUGUUUGUUCUGUCUCUAUACCAGCUUCCAGAGGUAUGGAACUGCUAAUAAGUAGAGCUGCCCCUCCAGAGAAUCUCUAGAUAUGUGAUUCUGAGAGAAUACUAAGUAGUCCCAUCCUCUUCCAGAAGCUCCUCAUAGAAGCAGUUCUUCCUGAUCCUACACUGCUGGCAGGACAAAACAGAGCACAGUGGGUACAAACAACUAAAGAAUCUAACUGUCCUCCCCAGGAGAGGAACUCAAAGAACCAGCUGGGAUGAUCUGGAGUUGCACUAUCCAAUAAGGUAGCCACCAGCCACAUGUACAAUUUAAGUUUAAAAUUAAAAGUUCGGUUCCCCCUGCAUUAGCCACCUGUGGAAUUCUCAUAUAACUAGACAGCACAAAUACAGAACUCUUGCAUUACUGUGGAAACUUCUAUUGAAAAGAACUGAUCUAGAGAACAAAAACUUCUAAAGGAUUAAGGUUUUUCUUAGGGUAGCAGUAAGUCACUGUAGAUCACCAAUAACAGAAAGACUGUAAAUGUCAUUAAGAACAGGCAAAGCAGUGGUAGAGAUGGCUAGUCUGAAGUAUUAUUCUUUUAUUUUCUUUUUUGCAUUAUUGGGGAUUGAACCCAGGGCUUCAUGAAUGCUAGAUAGGUACUCUACCACUGAGCUAGAUCCGGAGCCCCUAAAGCAUUAUUCUUAACACAAAACCAGACUCAGAAAGAAAGUCUGAUGGUAGUACAGAUGGGGCUGGGUAGCACACUCCAAGGAAUGAUGUUAUUGGUGAAAAGAAUCAUAGUGUUCUACAGCUCCCAUUAGUCCCAUAAAAUGUCUGAGAGCUUCUUCAGAGAAGUCAUUGUAUUUAAUUUCCAGUUUAGAUUACGAGAAAUAGAAGGAAGGGCCUGCUCAUGGACUAUGGUAGAUUGUUUCAGUAUGAUAUAAAUGACUACUAGGUGAGUUUUUGGUUCCUGAUUCAACUCGUACCUUCCUCCAAAUAAAGUACAAGGCCACUAUAAAUCAGGUGCCUGAUGUAGAUUUCUAAAAUAAGCCAAUAUAAAAAAGUAAACAUUUUAAAAGAUUUUUUAUUAAACAUUUAUUGAGGAAUUUUUGUUAAGACUUUGGGUUAAGGGCUGGUGUUACAGCUCAGUGGUAGAGUGCCUGCCUAACAUGUGUGAGGCAUUGGUUCAAUUCUCAGCACCAAUUAUAAAUAAAUUAAAUAAAGGCCAUCAAUAAUUUAAAAAAAUAUUUAAAAAAAAGACUUUGGGUUAAGAACAAAACAAAACAGGGGCUGGGGUUGUGGCUCAGAGUAAAAGCGCUUGCAUAGCAUAUGUGAGGCACUUAGUUCAAUCCUCAGCACCACAUAAAAACUAAAUAAAGGUAUUG